GGGAGCUUGAGAGCAAUGGCCGAGAGCUAGGAGGGAGAGAAGGCAAGAUCGAGAGAGAGAUUAAGAGAGAGAUCGAGAGAGUGAGAGCAAGAGAGAGAUUGAGAGCGAGAGAGUGGGCGGCGGCCAUGGCCGCGAGUAACAAGCUCGAGCGGCCAUGGCAGUCGCGAUGAAGGUGAACCAACCGUGAUGAAAGCGAGGCAGCUUGAGAGCAAUGGCCGAGAGCUAGGAGGGAGAGAAGGCAAGAUCGAGAGAGAGAUUAAGAGAGAGAUCGAGAGAGUGAGAGCAAGAGAGAGAUUGAGAGCGAGAGAGUGGGCGGCGGCCAUGGCCGCGAGUAAUAAGCUCGAGCGGCCAUGGCAGUCGCGAUGAAGGUGAACCAACCGCGAUGAAAGCGAGGCAGCAAGGUGCGGCCAGCAGAGGCGAGUCUGUGAUGGCUAGCGAGGGCGCGAUGGUGGCGCGCGAAGGUGGCGGAGCAGCUGGAGGCCGAUCAUGGCCGGCUGGAGGCGACCAUGGCAGCACGCGGGAGCUACGAGCAGCAAGCAGGGGCGGCCGGAAGCGGCGCUCGGCAACGCGCAGGGCCGAGGCAGCAUCGCUGGUGGCUCGCGGUGGUGCUUGGAGGCAGCGGGGGUGGUCGCGGUGAGGUCGGAGGCGAUGCGUGCGGUUGGCAGCGGCUGGGCAUGGGCGUGGGAGUUGCAGGCAGCGCGCAGGGGAGGAAAGAAGAAGAAGAAGAAGAAGAAGAAGAAAAGAAAGAAGAAAGGAAAGAAAAAGAAAAAGAAGAAAAGAGAAGAGAAGAAGAGACUUGGCUGUGCGCGCAGGAGCAGGGGAGGAAAGAAGAAGAAGAAGGGAAGAAGAAGAAAGAGAAAGAAGAAAAGAAAAAGAGAAAAAAGAAAAAGGAAAUAAAGAAAAAGAAAAGAAGAAAAUAGAAGAAAAAUGAAAAAAAUUGGAGAAAAAUUCUGAAAAGAUUUUCGAAAAUUCUAAAAAUUAAUUUGGGGUUUGACGAGCGUGCUCGAGUUCAAGAAAUUUUUCGGGCAUGCAUUUUGAGAUUUGGGCACGCAUAUCGAGGAAAUCCAAGAGGCUAAAUCUAGGGUGCUUGAGGCUUAAGUUGAAGUAACUUGUAUAAAUUUUGAGGAGGGCACGCAAAUCGAGAUGAUGCACAUAUUUCGAGGCAAGGCACGAAUAUCAAGGUAGCUAAAUCGCUCCGCAGAAAGGGUACGCCAAGGUUCAUAAUUGAGUAUGAUUGGAAGUUCGACGCGAAUUUUGAGGCAGAAUUAUGUUAGAGGCAGAAUUAUUUUUUUGCAAGGUAAGUAGUACUUUCCAACUGGACUAAGUGUUAUGAUCUUAUCAUGUUGUCAUUACUUGUUAUGAGUAUGUCAUAUAGAUUGCAUUUACAUGUUUUGAUUUAUGAGAUAUGCAUAUGAGUAUAAUGAGAUUCACGGUCAUAUGUUGCAUGGGUUUAGGAUUAGGUAUUGGGUCUGUUACUUUGCCAAUGAUGCACCCAUACACCUCGGUCUGGCAGGAAGACUGAAAAAAUGACGGGUAAUCUUAAGGUGCAGUCGACCCAAACAUGAGAGUUAUGAUGUUAUGUGCAUUGCAUACAUACAUGAGCAUUAAAUGUUUUGUAUCCUUACUUAGAUGAUUCAUCAUCUAACCUGGGCUUUGCCCUUGGAAUAUUCAAACGUUCAAGAUGAAGAUAGUAGCAGAAACGAGGAUGAAUGAGGCAUGUAAUAGCACUUAGCAAAGUACAUGAUGAGUUAUAUAAUCAGUUGAACGUAUGUUUUGUUGCUCAUGUAUUUAAGUUUUGUUACUUCGAAUUCUAAACAUUUUAAGAAAUGAUGAUGUAGAACCCUAUUUAGGGUUAAUGUUAGUUGAGAACUUAUGUUAUGUAUUAAGUCAUGUUGAGAAAUUUAUGUUCCUAUGAUGUAAGAACUUAUGUAUGAUUAAUGUUAUGAUGUUAGGUUCGAUUCUACCUUCCGCAUUUAAUGUAUAUGAUGAUUAUCCUUGGAAAUAAAUGAAUGAAAAUUUUGGGAUGAAUAAGAGCAAUAAUAUGGUUUAGUCUUAGUUUUAGUAGUAUAAAAAAAAAAAAUUAUCCCAGAAUUGUUCUGAGUUAUAACGUGCUCGAAAAAAAACGGGGCGUUACAUAUUAACCCCCUAGUGUCCACAGUGCCAUCGGAGUCAACUUUUUCUACAAGAAAUAGGGUGCUUAACCCAAAGAGAUCGAGGUUGCAACAUACGACACUAGAAAUGUGUAUAUGUUUUAGGGAUUGGUUAGAUGUUGAAUUUGACAAA